rnacentral:rRNA from 1 species
UACGAAGGGGGCUAGCGUUGUUCGGAAUUACUGGGCGUAAAGCGCACGUAGGCGGAUUGUUAAGUUAGGGGUGAAAUCCCGGGGCUCAACCCCGGAACUGCCUUUAAUACUGGCAAUCUCGAGUCCGAGAGAGGUGAGUGGAAUUCCGAGUGUAGAGGUGAAAUUCGUAGAUAUUCGCAAGAACACCAGUGGCGAAGGCGGCUCACUGGUCCGGUACUGACGCUGAGGUGCGAAAGCGUGGGGAGCAAACAGG